UACAGAGGAUGCAAGCGUUAUCCGGAAUGAUUGGGCGUAAAGCGUCUGUAGGUGGCUUUUUAAGUCCGCCGUCAAAUCCCAGGGCUCAACUCUGGACAGGCGGUGGAAACUACCAAGCUGGAGUACGGUAGGGGCAGAGGGAAUUUCCGGUGGAGCGGUGAAAUGCGUAGAGAUCGGAGAGAACACCAACGGCGAAAGCACGCUGCUGGGCCGACACUGACGCUGAGAGACGAAAGCUAGGGGAGCGAAUGGG
rnacentral:rRNA from 1 species